rnacentral:lncRNA from 10 species
GGGAGGCCAAGGCAGGUGGAUCACCUGAGGUCGGGAGUUCGAGACCAGCCUGGCCAAUAUGGAGAAACCCCGUCUCUACUAAAAAUACAAAAAUUAGUCAGGCAUGGUGGCAGGCGCCUGUCUUCCCAGCUACUCGGGAGGCUGAGGCAGGAGAAUUGCUUGAACCCAGGAGGUGGAGGUUGCAGUGAGCUGAGAUCACGCCACUGCACUCCAGCCUGGGUGACACAGCGAGACUCUGUCUCAAAAAAUAAAAACACAUAUUUCAAUCAUCAUCUUUAUUUCUUUUUUAAAUCAUGGCAACUUUUAUUUCGGAUUCAGGAGGCUCAUGUGCACAUUUGUUGCUUGAGUAUAAUGUGUGAUGCUGAAGUUUGGGGCAUGAAGGAUUGUGCCAUCCAAGUACUGAGCAUGGGACCCAACGUAUGAUUUUUCCGCCUUUGCCUCCAUCCUUCCCUCCCCCGUCUAGCAGACGCCAGCAUCUAUUGUUCCCAUUUCUAUGACUAUUUGUACCCAAUUUUAGCUCCCUCUUAUGUGGGCCUCCACUGAGGCAAGAGAAUGGCGUGAACCAAGGAGGCGGAGCUUGCAGUGAGCCGAGACCGCGCCACUGCACUCCAGCCUGGGCGACAGAGUGAGAAUCCGUCUAAAAAAAAAAAAAAAAAAGAAGAAGAAGAAGCGCCUCCAGCUGCAUCCGUAUUUCUGCAAAGGACAUGAUUUGAUUCUUUUUCAUGGCUGUGUAGCAUUCAAUGUUACAGAUGGAUCAUAUUUUCUUUUUUUUUUUUCCGAGACAGAAUCUUGCAACCUCUGCCUCCCAGGCGCGACCUCAGCUCGCUGCAACCUCCGCCUCCCGGGUUCAAACGAUUCUCCCGCCUCAGCCUCCGAAGUAGCCAGGGUUCCAGGUGUUCACCACCAGGCUUGGCUACUAUUUGUAUUUUUUUUUCUUUUUUUGAGCCGUAGUCUCACUUUUGUCACCCAGGCUGGAGUGCAAUGGCAUGAUCUUGGCUCACUGCAACCUCCACCUCCCGGGUUUAAGUGAUUCUCCUGCCUCAGCAUCUCAAGCAGCUGGGAUU